GAAUCUCCUUCGGUUCAUAUUUAUCGUAAAACUCCUGCGCUCCCACCCAGUCGGGGAUCUCGUCUUCUUUGGUCAUGUUUGAGGCGCCUUAUCCGUGGCCAAAAAUGCUGCGGGGAUGUCCACAAAACAACGAAGAGGCACCUGCUUCUGCACAGGAAGCCUUCCGGAACAUUCUCUACCCAUCCAGACGCUCGCUGUGCCGCUCCGAUGACGCCCACUUCCUGUGAGACUCUGCAUCCAGGUGAAGAACAGAACCACCAAAUAACCAGCGAUGGUGUACACAGCUAAUCACCUAACAGAGCCAGGGAUGAUCGGUGGGAACAAAAAACCGGAAACAGAUGUGGGCCUUCUGGAACAGGAUUUCCACCCUAGGAGACAGAGAGCUGUUUGGCAGCCCGACUGGGACGGCCACAGCCCAGCAGCAGUGUGACACAGGACACAUUGUGAUGCAACAGAGAGACAGACGGACUCAUUAUGACAUCACAGAGCCACCGGCCUGAUCAGUCGCCGUGACAAUCGCACACCCGCUGGAGCACAAGCGUUCCGUUCUGUCCAGUCGGACCCACAGCCUUGUCUCUGUCAGGGCAGGACAGUGACUCUACAGAUCUGAGCGCGCUCAGUCUGAACGCGGGACAAGCCGUACACUGAAGCUACCGCUAAGCUAAAAAAGCUGCAAAACAUUCAGGAAAAACUUCCUAGAUCACACACUGUGUUAUCUGCUCACCAAUGAGACACAGGGCAUCGAAGUGCUCAAUACCAACAUUUCAGCCAAUGUGAAGGUAAAAGUCAUUCUGAUUGGCUGUCCCAUUGUGAGAGUAUGCAGUGUACGCCAGUACGCAGCGCUGAGUACUGAAAUGAAUAUAAGGCCUCUCUUUCUGACUCAGGCUGUGACCUUUGACUUCUGACAUCACUCCCCCUUACCUGUACUUCAGAGUUUGUGUGGCGAACCUCCCCCCCAACAUAACAGCCCUUUCCAGUAAAAUGGGUAUCAUUGCAUCACUUAAACGCUUCCAAGAAAUGAACAGGGGAGAUUUGCUCAUCGCUGAAUGAUCAGGCAUGAGGGACCAGCGCUGCAUUCGAACUGUCUGUCCAGCUGCGUCCUACAUUCUCUCUCCAUCCCUCCUUUUCUCCCUCCCUCCUUACUCUCUUAUCCUCCAUCCCUUCCUCACUCUCUCCAUCUCUACCUCUGUAAGUCUCUUUCCCUUCCUGGCUCCCUCUGUUUCUCUCUCUCUCUACAUCCCUCCCUCACUCUCGCUCUCUCCAUCUCUCCCUCUGUAAGUCUCUCUCCCUUCCUGGCUCCGUUUCUCUCUCUCUCUACGUCCCUCCCUCUCUCUCUCUCUCUCUCUCUCUCUCAAGUGCAUUGUUCAUGCACAUAAUCCAAAUCAUGUUGUUCCAAUAACUAGCAACCCCCCCCCCUCCCCACUGCACUGGCGUCAAUCCCAUUUUAUUAACUUAAUUUUAAUCAUUUAAAAUUCAAUUCCGUAGUUAAAAAUACCUGUAGAGCAGGUGUCCCAGAGCCAGGUACUGCUGGGUUCUGCUUUGGCCUUAAAAUCAGCAAGCAGUUCAGACCCAAAAGAACCAGGUGAGGUGAGCUAACAGGGGGCGAGCAGGUGCUUUACCUGUCUCUCCAGCCCCCCAGCCCUGCGGACACAGACCACAAAGCAUUAUGGGUGUUUUUAAUUACAGCUCAGUUCAUUUCCUCCAGUGAAAUAUAAUUGACCACAAUUGACACAGUGAGGUUUUCGUGGGCAAGACAACACUGACUGGGGUUUAGCUCACC